rnacentral:rRNA from 1 species
UACGUAGGGAGCAAGCGUUGUCCGGAAUCAUUGGGCGUAAAGCGCGCGUAGGCGGCCCUGUAAGUCCGUUGUGAAAGUCAAAGGCUCAACCUUUGAAAGCCGAUGGAUACUGCAGGGCUAGAGUUCGGAAGAGGCGAGUGGAAUUCCUGGUGUAGCGGUGGAAUGCGCAGAUAUCGGGAGGAACACCAGCGGCGAAGGCGGCACUCUGGGCUGGAACUGACGCUGAGGAGCGAAAGCGUGGGUAGCAAACAGGA